AUCAUAGUCAAAAUCUGAGUUUGAUCCUGGCUCAGAAGGAAUGCUAGCUAUAUGCUUAACACAUGCAAGUUGAACGUUGUUUUCGGGGAGCUGGGCAGAAGGAAAAGUGGCUCCUAGCUAAAGUUGUCUCGCCCUGCUUCAAAACUACAGGGCACGCGCUGCGGCCUUGACCAAACGGCCUCCGUUUGCUGGAAUCGGAAUAGUUGAGAACAAAGUGGCGAACG
rnacentral:rRNA from 1 species